UGGUGAUAAGAAGCCAUGCCUCCAAGCCAGCCAUUCUUUCUGGAAGUUCCAGUGCCUAACUAUGAAGGAGGCUGGGAACAUGAGUAUGUGGCACAGAAGAAUGGAAUGACAGCAAGUGACUCAAGCCCAGCAUCCCCUGGAAUUUCUCAGACCUGAUUCCCUAGGAACAGGGUCUCUCCACCUGGCAUCUGCACCAAACUUGUGUCAGCAAGGAAGAAGGGGAAGGGUGGAAAUGGUUGUAGAAGAAGCUGCAGACUGGUCUGCUACAUACCUUGAUUUAUAGGUGGGGCACAGAGACACACGGAAGCCUCCUCCAGAUGACAGAGCUGUUUAGUGGUUAACCAUAGCAAAAUCCCGGGCUCUUGCUUCAUUAUUACUUCUCGGCACAAAAUGAUGGGAUAGCUAUCUAUGUGCUUCUCAACUAUCACGGCCCUGAUGCAAAGUUUUGAUAUACAAAAUUUAUAGACCUUAAAAAUUCUGAAGAGUAAAGUACAGCUAUUGCAUGAUCACAGACCAGCAAUUAAAGUGUCCUCCUAAAUAACAGAGCAC
rnacentral:lncRNA from 1 species